rnacentral:rRNA from 1 species
UACGGAAGGCAGCAGUGGGGAAUAUUGCACAAUGGGCGCAAGCCUGAUGCAGCCAUGCCGCGUGUAUGAAGAAGGCCUUCGGGUUGUAAAGUACUUUCAGCGGGGAGGAAGGCGGUGGAGUUAAUAGCUUCACCGAUUGACGUUACCCGCAGAAGAAGCACCGGCUAACUCCGUGCCAGCAGCCGCGGUAAUACGGAGGGUGCAAGCGUUAAUCGGAAUUACUGGGCGUAAAGCGCACGCAGGCGGUCUGUCAAGUCGGAUGUGAAAUCCCCGGGCUUAACCUGGGAACUGCAUUCGAAACUGGCAGGCUAGAGUCUUGUAGAGGGGGUAGAAUUCCAGGUGUAGCGGUGAAAUGCGUAGAGAUCUGGAGGAAUACCGGUGGCGAAGGCGGCCCCUGGGACAAAGACUGACGCUCAGGGUGCGAAAGCGUGGGGAGCAAACGAGGAUUAGAUACC